rnacentral:rRNA from 1 species
GAUGAACGCUGGCGGCGUGCCUAAUACAUGCAAGUCGAGCGAACAGACGAGGAGCUUGCUCCUCUGACGUUAGCGGCGGACGGGUGAGUAACACGUGGAUAACCUACCUAUAAGACUGGGAUAACUUCGGGAAACCGGAGCUAAUACCGGAUAAUAUAUUGAACCGCAUGGUUCAAUAGUGAAAGACGGUUUUGCUGUCACUUAUAGAUGGAUCCGCGCCGCAUUAGCUAGUUGGUAAGGUAACGGCUUACCAAGGCAACGAUGCGUAGGCGACCUGAGAGGGGGAUCGGCCACACUGGAACUGAGACACGGUCCAGACUCCUACGGGAGGCAGCAGUAGGGAAUCUUCCGCAAUGGGCGAAAGCCUGACGGAGCAACGCCGCGUGAGUGAUGAAGGUCUUCGGAUCGUAAAACUCUGUUAUUAGGGAAGAACAAAUGUGUAAGUAACUAUGCACGUCUUGACGGUACCUAAUCAGAAGGCCACGGCUAACUACGUG